ensembl:rRNA 5S_rRNA 5S ribosomal RNA
GCUUACGGCCAUACCAGCCCAAGAACGCCCCGUCUCGUCUGAUCUCGGAAGCUAAGAAGGCUUGGGCCUGGUUAGUACUUGGAUGGGAGACCUCCUGGGAAUACCAGGUGCUGUAAGCU